CUUCUCCUGCCCUCGGCCUCCCUCCGCGCCCCUCCUCCGGCCGCGGGCUUAGGCUGCUGCGGGCCCGCGUCUCUGGGCCACUGAAUCCGGGGUCUGCGUCUUGUUUGUCUCGGUCCCUCUCUCAGGAACUCGCCCGGAGUUCGUAUCUCUGUCUCUGGAUCCUGACUCCUGUCUCCUUCAACUUCAUCUGGGCUAGGCUCGAAGUCUUUCUUUUCCGCCUCUGGAUUGUCUACAAGCAGUGGGAGCUCCAGCUUGGUAAGCCAGUAAAGAACCUUGCUGAUCAUGGCCACCUGAGCCUGGUUGGGGACUCCUCCAGUAAGCUGCCAGGACCCCUUGUCCAGAGGAUCUGCCCUUCAGAAUUCCCUGGAACAGCAUGGAGUGCCCUAGCACUUGACAGCUGGAUGGACAUUUGAGAGCUAGCAGGCUCCAUACUGUUGGGGACAUGGGAAGUAAAGCAGAAGGAUGAUGGGAUUCCUGAAGAGUCGGAGGGUGAAUGGAUAAGGAAAUGUGAUAUGAUUCCUAAUAGCACGGAGAAACCACUUGAGUUUGGAGUUACGAAUUCAAAUUGGCAGUUAACAGGUUUUUGUAGGACAGAACCUUUGGAGGAGAAGA